AACCUAGCACACCUGCGGUGUGUACCUGCGGAAGGAUCAUUACCGAGUUUACAACUCCCAAACCCCUGUGAACAUACCUAUACGUUGCCUCGGCGGAUCAGCCCGCGCCCUGUAAAACGGGACGGCCCGCCCGAGGACCCUAAACUCUGUUUUUAGUGGAACUUCUGAGUAAAACAAACAAAUAAAUCAAAACUUUCAGCAAUGGAUCU
rnacentral:misc_RNA from 1 species